rnacentral:tRNA from 1 species
GCCCCCGUAGCUCAGCGGAUAGAGCAGCGGACUUCUAAUCCGAGGGUCGCAGGUUCGAUUCCUGCCGGGGGCA